CUGAUUUUAAAAGAAAUUAAAACAUUUUCAUGGGUCCCUCUGAGCACGAUUGGCUCUGAGCACUGUGGUUUAAUUGUGCCAGAUAGAUAUGUAAGCCCUGGGUCUAGGACCUUCCAAAAGGUUAGGACCCCUGUGAAUUUAAUUUUAUAUGUAUUUUUUAUUACUUUUUUUGUUUGUUUGUUUUUGGUUACAGGCUUUAGUUAGUUCUGCUCCCGGUGAAUUUUAAAACGUCACGUUUGUGGCUUUAAGAGAGGCCCUCUUGCAAAUUCCCUGGCGGUCCUCUGGUUCCGACUCUGCCCUUUCAUUGACGAGGGCCUAGGUUCAAGCCCUGCUGAGGGUACUAAGAUCCCGCUGGGUGACUCGGCCAAAAUAUAUAUAUAUAUAUAUAUAUAUAUAUAUGCGCCAUCAUGCUGUCUGUCCCUCUUCCAACCACAAAAGCGUCCCCAAACCCCUCCAGGGUGGCCAUGAUUCCCACUCUCACCCCUGUCCCCAAUUAUCCCAUCCCUUUUGUUUUUUUCCUGGAAAACAUUAAUUAUCCAUUGAGAUGCACUAAAUUGUGGUGCUUUCUCACUAGACUGUGGGUCCCCGCAGACAGGGUUUUUGUCCCUGCGGAGCCCCGUGGUGGUCUCCCGGGCUCGGGCCUCCCAGAGGUCCCCAAAUACGGUCUACGUGGCAGCCGGGGAGGUAGAGAGGACGUCGCUGGGGCGCCUCAGGGACUUUCCCUGUCCCGCUGGGAAAGCGUGAUCUCACCCGGUUCCUCCCUCCUCGCCGGACGCGGAAGAGGCGGGCGGAGGCCGUGCGCCUGGGGCUACAGGCGCGCCCUCCGCGCCCUGCCAUCCGCGGGCAUCGCCACCAGGCCAUCAGGCCACCAACAUCCGCCCCGAGGACCCGAGCAGUGCGGCCGGUCGCCCCCGCGACCCCAGCUAUUUCAGAUUGACUUCUCACACUGUUGCUGGUGUAGUCGGGAGUUGUUACUACACACACAGCUGUUUCUAGGAGCCACUGAGAGGUGGAAAGAAAGUUGAUCCAAGGGUCAAACUGCAAGUAAUUUUGAUAUUUCCAUAAGUUUUGGCUGACUUGGGGGCCCAUCUGAAAGUAAGAUUGUUGUCCUUUUUGAUCCAUUCUGUCGAUGAUGGUAACUCACAUCAAAGGUAGGAGAAAGUAUUCCCUUUGCCUUUUUCUUACUGCUCACUUGUGCCUGCAUUAUAGCAAGUUGUCUGUCUUCCACUUUCCUCCAGGACUACUCUGGCCAUGAGCUCAUUGCAUGGGCUAUUUUAAUUAUAACUAGAUAAAUCUGUUUCUCAGGCCAUGUAACCAGGUCCAUGGAAGCUGG
rnacentral:lncRNA from 1 species